rnacentral:rRNA from 1 species
UAGGGAAUCUUCCACAAUGGGCGCAAGCCUGAUGGAGCAACACCGCGUGAGUGAAGAAGGGUUUCGGCUCGUAAAGCUCUGUUGUUGGAGAAGAACGUGCGUGAGAGUAACUGUUCACGCAGUGACGGUAUCCAACCAGAAAGUCACGGCUAACUACGUGCCAGCAGCCGCGGUAAUACGUAGGUGGCAAGCGUUAUCCGGAUUUAUUGGGCGUAAAGCGAGCGCAGGCGGUUGCUUAGGUCUGAUGUGAAAGCCUUCGGCUUAACCGAAGAAGUGCAUCGGAAACCGGGCGACUUGAGUGCAGAAGAGGACAGUGGAACUCCAUGUGUAGCGGUGAAAUGCAUAGAUAUGACGCAGAACUCCGAUUGCGAAGGCAGCUUUCCAGCACGCCACUGACGCUGAGGCACGAAAGCGU